GAUCAUGGCUCAGGAUGAACGCUAGCUACAGGCUUAACACAUGCAAGUCGAGGGGGCAUCAUGCUUAUAGCAAUAUAAGUGAUGGCGACCGGCGCACGGGUGAGUAACACGUAUCCAACCUGCCGAUAACUCGGGGAUAGCCUUUCGAAAGAAAGAUUAAUACCCGAUGGCAUAAUAGAACCGCAUGGUUUGAUUAUUAAAGAAUUUCGGUUAUCGAUGGGGAUGCGUUCCAUUAGG
rnacentral:rRNA from 1 species